GACGAACCGUGCGAACGUUGUUCGGAAUCACUGGGCUUAAAGGGCGCGUAGGCGGCUCGCGAGGUCGGGGGUGAAAUCCCGCAGCUUAACUGCGGAAGAGCCUUCGAUACCGGCGGGCUAGAGGAAGGUAGGGGUGCGCGGAACUUCUGGUGGAGCGGUGAAAUGCGUUGAUAUCAGAAGGAACAUCAGUGGCGAAAGCGACUUCCUGGACCAAUACUGACGCUCAUGUGCGAAAGCGUGGGGAGCAAACAGG
rnacentral:rRNA from 1 species